AUGAGUGGUGUUUGGUUUGUUACGGGUGGUUGGCUCUUUGCUUGUGCAACAACUUCCACCUGGCAUACCUCCUCAGUUAUGCGUCAAGACUUGUAUCGUCUUGAGCGUAUUGUGGGUUUCCUGUGUUGCAUACCUAAUUGAUGGUAUUGUUUUGGUUGAUCGAAGUCCCUUUUCAUCUUAUGUUGCGUUUGCGACGCAUGAUGAACCUCGAAGCAGUCUCUAUGUUCCAUCUUGUUGAUGCAAAUGCAUUGAUGUUGUGGCCACUGAGCGUUGCUUGGUAUCCUGGAUACGGAACAUUAUGUGGGCAUCGGGUCUCUUGUGGCUCUUGUUUUGUCCCCGUUCAGUGUUCUUUAAAUUGACGGUUCAUGCACGCCUAGGCUCGUACCUGCGUGAUGUUCUUUGUCAAGAGGAAUGCUACCUGGUUGAUCCUGCCAGUAGUCAUAUGCUUGUCUCAAAGAUUAAGCCAUGC
rnacentral:misc_RNA from 1 species